CAUUUAGAGAUGGGAAGGCCUGGGGAAAAAACAAUAAAAGUUGUGGGGGAAAUGGGGGGGACCUGUUUCUCCCCCUAUUUUCCCUAUUUUUUUCCAGGCCUUCCCAUCUCUAAACA